rnacentral:rRNA from 1 species
GACGAACGCUGGCGGCGUGCUUAACACAUGCAAGUCGAACGGUAAGGCCCUUCGGGGUACGACGAGUGGCGAACGGGUGGAGUAACACGUGGGUGAUCUGCCCUGCACUUCGGGAUAAGCCUGGGAAACUGGGUCUAAUACCGGAUAGGACCAUGGACUUCACGGUUUGUGGUGGAAAGCUUUUGCGGUGUGGGAUGGGCCCGCGGCCUAUCAGCUUGUUGGUGGGGUAAUGGCCUACCAAGGCGACGACGGGUAGCCGGCCUGAGAGGGUGUCCGGCCACACUGGGACUGAGAUACGGCCCAGACUCCUACGGGAGGCAGCAGUGGGGAAUAUUGCACAAUGGGCGCAAGUCUGAUGCAGCGACGCCGCG